rnacentral:rRNA from 1 species
UGGGGAAUUUUCCGCAAUGGGCGAAAGCCUGACGGAGUGACGCCGCGUGGGGGACGAAGGCCUUCGGGUCGUAAACCCCUGUCAGAGGGAAAGAAGGGUGCUGGCGUGAAUAGCGCCCGCAUCUGACGGUACCUUCAGAGGAAGCCCCGGCCAACUCUGUGCCAGCAGCCGCGGUAAGACAGAGGGGGCAAGCGUUGCUCGGAAUCACUGGGCGUAAAGGGCGCGUAGGCGGGAUGGCAAGUCGGUCGUGAAAUCCUUCGGCUCAACCGAAGAACGUCGGCCGAUACUGCCGUUCUUGAGGGAUGCAGAGGAGAUUGGAAUUCCCGGUGUAGCGGUGAAAUGUGUAGAGAUCGGGAGGAACACCGGUGGCGAAGGCGGGUCUCUGGGCAUCUCCUGACGCUGAGGCGCGAAAGCGUGGGGAGCAAACGGGAUUAGAUACCCCGGUAGUCCACGCUGUAAACGAUGACGACUAGGUGUGGGGGGGGUUAGUCCUUUCCGUGCCGCAGCUAACGCAUUAAGUCGUCCGCCUGGGGAGUACGGUCGCAAGGUUGC